rnacentral:rRNA from 1 species
UCCAGACUCCUACGGGAGGCAGCAGUGGGGAAUAUUGGGCAAUGGGCGCAAGCCUGACCCAGCAACGCCGCGUGAAGGAAGAAGGCUUUCGGGUUGUAAACUUCUUUUGACAGGGAAGAGCAGAAGACGGUACCUGUCGAAUAAGCCACGGCUAACUACGUGCCAGCAGCCGCGGUAAUACGGAGGAUGCGAGCGUUAUCCGGAUUUAUUGGGUUUAAAGGGUGCGUAGGCGGUCCGUUAAGUCAGCGGUAAAAUUGCGGGGCUAAACCCCGUCGAGCCGUUGAAACUGGCAGACUUGAGUUGGCGAGAAGUACGCGGAAUGCGCGGUGUAGCGGUGAAAUGCAUAGAUAUCGCGCAGAACUCCGAUUGCGAGGGCAGCGUACCGGCGCCAGACUGACGCUGAGGCACGAAAGCGUGGGGAUCGAACAGGAUUAGAUACCCUAGUAA